AGCAGUUUAGUUUACUACCAACUUAAUGUCAAUAAUGUAUAAAAUCUUUGCUCCUAUAUAGCUCCAUCUGCCCUCCUUUAUACUGUUCUGGCACAAUUUCAAAUUUAUACAUUCUUUGACUACCAACAAAGAUAUAUCAUAAUUACUUUAUGAAGUUGUUUUUUAAAUCAGAUAGGAAAUACAAACACAAAUACCUCUAUGUUGACUUUUCCUAUGUAGUUACCUUUACCAGUGCUCUUUAUUUUUUCAUGUGGGUUUGAGUUACUGUCUAGUGUGUUUUCCUGUCAGCCUGAACACUUUCCUUUAGUGUUUCCACAGGGCAGACUGCUAACAGCACUUGUCUCAGUUUUGGUUUUAUUUUUAUCCUAGGAGUAUCUUGAUUUCCUCAUUUUUAAGGACAGACCUGCUGCGUAUCAAACUUUUGCUGAGAGAGUGGUUUGUUUCCCUCAGUUCUGUGAAUACAGCAUCUCGUUGCCUUCUGACCUCCCUAUUCCCUGAUGAGAAGUCAGCUGUUUAUUUAUUGAGGAUCCCUUAUACACAGUGAACUGCUUCUCCCUUGCUGUUUUCAAGACUCUCUGCCUUUGGCUUUCAACAGUUUGAUCAUGACGGGUCUAGUUACAGAUGAGCACAUGUCUGAA